UCAGACCGUGUCCAUAGCAGAAAUAUUACAUACAGAACACGAAUCAUGGGACAAGGAGGAAAUGUACAGCUACUCACUGAAAUGCAGCAGUGGCAUUGCUGAUGGAGGUGGGAUUUCAGCCAGCUGUUCUCUGACAUGAGGUGUGUCAGGCAGUGGGACGCUGCUCUCAACUCCAGGAGCUGUCAAAUCCAUCAUGGAUUUAUGUUCUGUCCUCCUUGCAGGAAAGAAUAGAUUCCAAAGCCCCUUUGGGAAGACCUUCUGAGGGAGCUGCAUGAAACUACAGUCAGCACUGAGUGCAAUAGAAUCCACUCAGAAAAUGCAUGGAUCUGGUUCUACUGAUUCUGAGAUUUGAACAACUCGGGAGAAUGUGUGAAGUCGCUCAUUUACAUUUUGUUACCCAGCAUGCUGUUCCAACUCAUCUAUUUCCCACAGGCACCAACAUCAAAGCUGAGGAAACAAGCUAUCUUUGCAUGAAGGUUUUUCUUUUUAAUUAAACAUUAUAAUCUAAGGCCAGAAAUUCCCUCUUCUGUCACAGCUGGAGAAAGCAUAAAGGGAGAAGCGAGGGCAGAGAAACAGAAUCCAUCAGUCACUGUACAGAGAGAUUGCUUGGCCCUGCAUGCUUACAAUUGCCUUCUGACUGCUUGGCUUAUUUGUGCAGCAUAUGGCAAAGCGUGGAAACCCACCUCUAGCCCAAAGGUCACUGUGCCACCUGCAGAUCCCCGACAACACGCGGCCUUGCACAAAUACACAUGGAAGUAAUUAGGGAGGCAAGGGAGCUGGGAUAUGAAGCGGAACCCCCUCAAGUCUGCUGCAGUAAUUCUUUCAGCUGAGCUGGAGGAGAAGUCAGAAUUCCCAAGGGUCUGAUUGCUGAAGCCUGGAGCCCAAAACGGAAUACAAUUAUUUACUGCUUCUCUGCCACUAACAUGCCAUUGCAUUUGUGGGGUUGGGUGAGAGGAGAUCCAAAGGGAGU